UACGGGGGGGGGCAAGCGUUGUUCGGAAUUACUGGGCGUAAAGGGCUCGUAGGCGGCCAACUAAGUCGGACGUGAAAUCCCUCGGCUUAACCGGGGAACUGCGUCCGAUACUGGAUGGCUGGAGGUUGGGAGAGGGAUGCGGAAUUCCAGGUGUAGCGGUGAAAUGCGUAGAUAUCUGGAGGAACACCGGUGGCGAAGGCGGCAUCCUGGACCAAUUCUGACGCUGAGGAGCGAAAGCCAGGGGAGCAAACGGG
rnacentral:rRNA from 1 species